AUACGGAGGAUGCGAGCGUUGUCCGGAAUUACUGGGCGUAAAGGGCGCGUAGGCGGCGCUUCAAGUCGUCUGUCAAAUGGAAGGGCUUAACCUUUUUUCGCAGACGAAACUGGAGAGCUUGAGAAGCAGAGAGGCAAACAGAAUUCCUGGUGAAGCGGUGAAAUGCGUAGAUAUCAGGAAGAAUACCAGUGGCGAAGGCGGUUUGCUGGCUGCAUACUGACGCUGAAGCGCGAAAGCCAGGGGAGCGAACGGGAUUAGAUACCCCGGUAGUCCUGGCAGUAAACGAUGUAUGCUGGGUGUGAGACUAGCGAUAGUUUCGUGCCGAAGUUAACGCGAUAAGCAUACCGCCUGGGGAGUACGGUCGCAAGAUUGAAACUCAAAUGAAUUGACGGGG
rnacentral:rRNA from 1 species